rnacentral:rRNA from 1 species
GCUUGUCUCAAAGAUUAAGCCAUGCAUGUUCAAGUAUAGCAAGUGUACAGUGAAACUGCGAAUGGCUCAUUAAAUCAGUUAUAAUUUAUUUGAUAGUGAAAUUGUACAUGGAUAACCGUGGCAAUUCUAGGGCUAAUACAUGCGUCAAUGGUCGGUCGACCAGUAUUUAUUAGAUAUUCCUGGUAGGUGAUUCAUAAUAACUUAGCGAAUCGUGACUCGUUCACGAUAAAUCAUUCAAGUUUCUGCCCUAUCAUGCUUUCGAUGGUAGUGUAUUGGACUACCAUGGCUCUCACGGGUAACGGAGAAUUAGGGUUCGAUUCCGGAGAAGGAGCCUGAGAAACGGCUACUACAUCUAAGGAAGGCAGCAGG